CCUACGGGUUGUAACCUUCUUUUGUCUGGGAGCAUUUGGGUCCACGCGUGGGCUUAGCGCGAGUUUCUGAAGAACAAGCAUCUGCUAUCUACGUGCCAGCAGCCGCGGUAAUACGGAGGAUGCGAGCGUUAUCCGGAUUUAUGGGGCUUCGAGGGUGCGUAGGCGGAAUAUCACGUCAGCUGAAAAAAUUCGGGGCUCAACCCCGUCGUGCCGUUAAAACUGAUGUUCAUGAGUGGCGUGAAGUAUGCGGAAUGCGUGGUGUAGCGGUGAAAUGCAUAGAUAUCACGCAGAACUCCGAUUGCGAAGGCAGCAUACCAGCGCCCAACUGACGCUGAAGCACGAAAGCGUGGGUAUCGAACAGGAUUAGAUACCCGAGUAGUC
rnacentral:rRNA from 1 species